CAGCCCUCAAGCCCUCGACUAACGACGUUGCCGACGCCUGGUCCCCGCCACUAUCCAGCCUCGCCCCCGCCGCAGCCCACCCCACACCCGCCGCGGCCCACGCGAACCGGACCCGCCCAGCCGCCGCGCACCACACACCCAGUCGAGAGCCCAACCCGACCUGACCCGAUUCGAAAGGAGGGUUGUCGCCUCGCGUCGCGUCGUCUCCCUCUGGUUCCGGCGGCUAUGGCGGUGGCGGCCCCUGGCCAGCUCAACCUCGACGAGGCCCCGUCAUGGGGCUCCCGAAGCGUCGACUGCUUCGAGAAGCUGGAGCAGAUCGGCGAGGGCACCUACGGGCAAGUGUACAUGGCGAAGGAGACGGGCACCAACGAGAUCGUCGCGCUCAAGAAGAUCCGCAUGGACAACGAGCGCGAAGGGUUCCCGAUCACCGCCAUACGCGAGAUCAAGAUCCUGAAGAAGCUUCACCACCAGAACGUUAUCAAGCUCAAGGAGAUCGUCACCUCCCCAGGUCCAGAGCGGGAUGAGCAAGGGAAGCCAAUUGACGGCAACAAGUACAAGGGGAGCAUUUACAUGGUUUUCGAGUAUAUGGACCAUGACCUCACCGGGCUUGCUGAUCGGCCAGGAAUGCGGUUCACUGUGCCACAGAUUAAGUGUUACAUGAGGCAGCUGCUUACAGGCCUGCACUAUUGUCAUGUCAACCAAGUUCUGCAUCGAGAUAUCAAAGGAUCUAACCUCUUGAUAGACAAUGAGGGUAACUUGAAGCUUGCUGAUUUCGGCCUUGCAAGAUCAUUCUCGAGUGAUCACAAUGGAAACCUUACUAACCGUGUGAUCACUUUGUGGUAUAGACCUCCAGAGUUGCUACUUGGAAGCACAAAGUACGGUCCAGCCGUUGACAUGUGGUCAGUGGGCUGUAUUUUUGCAGAACUUCUCAAUGGGAAGCCAAUAUUGCCUGGAAAGAAUGAGCCAGAGCAGCUAACUAAGAUCUUCGAGCUUUGUGGUACCCCUGAUGACCAAAUCUGGCCUGGUGUCACAAAAAUGCCAUGGUACAACAACUUCAAGCCUCCCCGGCAAUUAAAGAGACGAGUUAAAGAAUUCUUUAAACAUUUUGAUCGGCAUGCGCUGGAACUGUUAGAGAAGAUGUUGACUUUAGAUCCAUUGCAGAGGAUAUCAGCAAAAGAUGCACUUGAUGCGGAAUAUUUCUGGACUGAUCCUUUACCAUGCGAUCCAAAAAGCUUGCCCAAGUAUGAGGCAUCACAUGAAUUCCAGACUAAGAAAAAGCGUCAGCAACAGAGGCAAGCAGAGGAAGCUGCAAAGCGUCAAAAACUUAAUCAUCCUCCACCACAUUCUCGUUUGCCUCCAAUCCAGCAGCCUGGCCAAGCACAUCCUCAAAUCAGACCUGGCAUGCACAAUGUGCCUCCUGUGGCAGCUGGCCCAGGCCAUCACUAUGCAAAGCCCCGAGGACCAGGAGGCCCUAGCCGGUAUCCUCAGGGUGGGAAUCAAGGGGGAGGCUACAAUCCAAACCGUGGAGGGCAGGGUGGUGGCUAUGGCAGUGGCCCGUAUCCCCAGCAAGGGCGAGGACCUCCUUACCCUGGUGGUGGAAUGGGUGGAGCAGCUGGUCCGCGGGGCAGUGGUGCCAGUGGCUAUGGAGCUAGCGGGCCAAACUACCAACAGGGUGGCCCAUACGGUGCGUCCGGUCCAGGUCGAGGACCAAACUACGCUCAAGGUGGCUCCCGCAAUCAGCAACAGUAUGGGAACUGGCAAUAAUAUGGCAGGCAGUAUCAUGCCAUUGAGAUGUAUGUAUCUGCAGAACCUCUGCAGUUUAAGCAUGUUGUAAGGUGUAUGUCAUGAUUAGUACUGUAAUACAGUCCAGAUAUAUCUCAAAAGUGCUGUAUAUGACUCCAGAUGUAAGAUUAUGAUCGAGAUAUUUUUAGUACUUGAAACCAUUGAUUCACUUACUGGAAGGAUGGCAUAGAGAUAUAGCAGAGUUUGCUAGUA